UAUGCACUUCAGAUUUGGGCGUAUGAGGUAUUUCCAGCGUUGGCUGCACUACAUUUGGUGGUGCACGAAGAUAAUGCGUACAUCCCUCGUUUACUACAUUGGAGGAGCAAUAGUUCGCCGCGUUUUUAUGAGCUAAUGAGCCAAGUAUUCGAGAACCGUGAGGUUGAUGUGCAGCUUCUCCGGCCAUCUGUAAUGGACAAGCAGCAGCCGUAUUGGACUUGGGGGGACAGUGCUGACGACACUGAAGAACUUGUUGACUUGUUGGGCGAUGACGCUGAACA